CCCUUAGAUGUCCUGGGCCGCACGCGCGCUACACUGAGUGUCUGAGAUACGAGUCUGCCUAGCCGGCGAGGUCUAGGUAAUCGCUGAAAGACACAUCAUGCUUGGGAUAGAUUAUUGCAGAUGUUAAUCUUGAACGAGGAAUUCCUAGUAAGCGCAAGUCAACAGCUUGCGUUGAUUACGUCCCUGCCCUUUGUACACACCGCCCGUCGCUACUACUGAUUGGAUGUUUAAGCGAGGUUCUCGAACUGCUAGCGACUUAGCUUCGGUGAGGUCGCCGUGUGGGAAGUGAGCCUAGCUUUGGUGUCUAGAGGAAGUAAAAGUCGUAUCA
rnacentral:rRNA from 1 species